UCCAGAAAGAACCAGAAUUACCCGAACUACAUAAGAAAAUAGACAUCUUAAUAAAUAAAGAAGUCCAACCAAAAAAUAACCUCGAAAUAGACGAACUUAUUAACCAAUUAAAACGAAUUGAAUUAACUCCUAAACAAGAACGAAAAAAUAUAAUAAGAAAACCACAAAAAUGGACUUUCUAUCAAAUAGACGGAGAACCAUCGAAAAUAAUGAAAGACAAGGAG
rnacentral:lncRNA from 1 species